GCCUACGGCCAUACCACCCUGAGAACGCCCGAUCUCGUCUGAUCUCGGAAGCUAAGUAGGGUUGGGCCUGGUUAGUACUUGGAUGGGAGACCGCCUGGGAAUACCAGGUGCUGUAAGCU
rnacentral:rRNA from 1 species